UACGAAGGGGACUAGCGUUGUUCGGAAUCACUGGGCGUAAAGCGCACGUAGGCGGAUGUGUCAGUCAGGGGUGAAAUCCCGGGGCUCAACCUCGGAACUGCCUUUGAUACAGCACGUCUCGAGUCCGGAAGAGGUGGGUGGAAUUCCUAGUGUAGAGGUGAAAUUCGUGGAUAUUAGGAAGAACACCGGUGGCGAAGGCGGCCCACUGGUCCGGUACUGACGCUGAGGUGCGAAAGCGUGGGGAGCAAACAGG
rnacentral:rRNA from 1 species